GGUGCGGUACCCAAGUGGUAAGGGAUCAGUCUGCAAAACUGUUAUUCGUCGGUUCAAUUCCGACCCGCACCU
rnacentral:tRNA from 1 species